ensembl:snRNA U6 U6 spliceosomal RNA
GUGCUUGCUUCAGCAGCACAUAUACUAAAAUUGGAACAAAACAGGUAAGAUUAGCUUGGCCUGUGCACAAAGAUGAAAAAUUCAUGAAGCAUUAAAAAAAGAA